ACGUUGAGUACCAUGUCUUUUGAGUUCCUGUGUGUCUGCAUGUGGGCCCGUCUUCUUGUUUGUCGAAGGUAGGGUUGCAGCAUGCUUUGACGAAAUCUCUCCCCUUGCCGAGUGACCUCCACCUCAAUGGCGCCUCCCACCUCCCCCGCCGCGGUUGCGGCGGCCGCCCGCGCUGCGCCGACGCCAGCCGCAGCGCUCGCGCUCUUCAAGUCGGCGCUGUCUGCCGACCGGGCCCUCUGCCCGCUCGUCGUGCUCCCGCACCUCGCCGCCGCCCCGUCGCUGCCCCAUCUCCUCCUCACCGCCUCCGCCGCCGCGCGCCCCCACGAAACCUCCCUCCGCCUCUACGCGAAGCUCAAGUUUCUCUCCGUGCCCAUCCCAGUCGCCUCGCUCCACCCGCUCCUCUCCUCCCUCCCCUCCGCCCCGGCCUUCGUCCUCUUCGCCGACAUCUUCCGCCUCCGCCUCCCGCUCUGCACCACCACCUUCAACAUCAUGCUCCGUCACCUCUGCGCCGCUGGAAAGCCCGUCCGCGCGCUCGAGCUGCUACGCCAGAUGUCCCGCCCCAACGCCGUCACCUACAACACCGUCAUCGCCGGGUUCUGUGCCCGCGGCCGCGUCCAGGCGGCGCUGGAGGUCAUGCGGGAGAUGCGGGAGCGCGGCGGCAUGGCCCCCGACAAGUACACCUACGCCACGGUGAUCUCGGGGUGGUGCAAGGUCGGUCGGGUCGAGAACGCAGCCAAGGUGUUCGACGAAAUGCUGACAGAGGGAGAAGUGGAGCCAACUGCGGUGAUGUACAACACGUUGAUCGGGGGCUACUGUGAUAGGGGCAAACUGGAUGUGGCGCUGGAAUACCGGGAGAAAAUGGUAGAGAGGGGGGUCGCCAUGACGGUUGCAACUUACAAUUUACUUGUGCAUGCAUUGUUCAUGGAUGGACGUGCAUCAGAGGCUUAUGCGGUGCUUGAGGAGAUGGAGGGGAAGGGGCUUUCCCCAGAUGUGUUCACUUACAAUAUAUUAAUCAAUGGAUAUUGCAAAGAGGGCAAAGAGGAGAAAGCACUGGACGUGUUUGAAGAGAUGUCUCGGAAAGGGGUGCGUGCAACCGCGGUGACCUACACAUCAUUGAUAUAUGCCCUGUCCAAGAAGGGGCUAGUUCAGGAGACAGAUAGGUUGUUUGAGGAAGCUGUGACGACGGGCAUCAGGCCUGACGUUGUCAUGUACAAUGCUCUGAUCAACGGCCACUGUACAUGUAGAGAUAUGGACAGGGCAUUUGAGAUCAUAACAGAAAUGGAGAAGAAGAGGAUAACACCAGAUGAUGUGACAUACAACACGCUGAUGAGGGGGUUGUGCUUGCUGGGGCGUCUCGAUGAAGCUCGUGGGCUCAUUGAUGAGAUGACAAAGAGGGGUAUCCAGCCAGACCUUGUCAGCUACAACACGCUGAUCAGUGGCUACAGCAUGAAGGGUAACAUAAAGGAUGCUUUUAAGGUUCGGGAUGAGAUGAUGAACAAGGGGUUCAACCCAACGCUUUUGACAUACAAUGCACUGAUACAGGGGCUGUGCAAGAAUGGCCAGGGAGAUGACGCUGAGAACCUGAUGAAAGAGAUGGUGGGGAAUGGCAUCACCCCUGAUGACAGCACGUAUAUCUCACUGAUCGAGGGACUUACCACGGAAGAUGAGCGGAUGGCUGCAGCAGAUGCUGCAAAAGCAUGAUCCUGCUAGGAAGCAGAUAGGUAUGAUCCGGACAGCAUAAGCUCAUAAAUUCAAAAUGCACCAAAGAGUUGUUUGCUCAAUCUGCGCUGGUAUGCAAUAGCAUUCUAAUGCCAUAGCAUUUCCUGACAGAAACACAAACUGUUCAUUUCACAAUUAGCAGCAUUGGCAAUAAGGGCCAGGUGACACUGGCAUUACGUGUGACCAGUGGCCCUUAACAGAGUUGUAGGCCUUUGUCAAUGGUUCAUCUUUUCGCAGUCGAUCUGUGAAGAAUACCUGUAACUUUUAGGGAUGAAAAAAAAAAGGCAUACUUGAUAUUUUGAAGACUUGCAACAACAGGGCUUGCUGGUGAGUUGGCUGCUGUCUGAGGUACUUUUGCAUCCUUGCCGAUUUGGACGUCUUGUUGUCAUAGCCUAUGUUCGUAACUGAUGCAUGCCAUGGCUAUUUAAUAGUAACUACCCUGUCCCCUCUGAAGCGCAAAGCUACAGGCUGAAGUCUUUUGUUUUAGCUUAUGUUUUCUGUGUAGAACUGCAUAGCUGAGGUACUCAUGUGCUUAUUUAGACUGUACUGUCAAGUGCUUUUGUUCUGAAACCAUAACAAAUCGAAUGGCUACAUGUAAACAACGACAAUUUGAGCUGUACUAAACUUUGUCAUGCGCACAAAUUGAUAAGACACCUUGUUUU